AUGCUCCCAGUAUGGCACUGGGCUGCUCCCAGUACACCCCAGCCCCCCCUGACGCCCCCGUUUCCCCCCCAGGCCCAGUCCCGGCGCGUGGCCGCGCUCCAGGCGGCGCUGGCGGCGCUGGGGGACACUGGGGGUGACACUGGUGACACUGGGGGUGACACUGGUGGUGACACUGGGGGGGACAUGGCGGAUCUGCCCCAGUUCCACCGCGCCGUGCUGGGGCUGCGCCGCGCCCGCGCCGUGCUGCAGCGCUGCCUGGCUCAGGGCGCCCCGCGGGUUCUGGGAUCUCUGGGGUCUCUGGGGGUCUCUGGGGUCUCUCUAAUGGGUCUGGGGUCCGCAGCGCUGCCUGGCCCAGGGGGCCCCGCGGGUUCUGGGGGCUCUGGGGGUCUCUGGGGGUCCCUGGGGUCUCUGGGGGGGUCUCUGGGUCUCUCUAAUGGGUCUGGGGUCGGCAGCGCUGCCUGGCCCAGGGCGCUCCGUGGGUUCUGGGGUCCCUGGGGGCUCUGGGGGGGUCUCUGGGGUCUCUCUAAUGGGUCUGGGGUCUGCAGCGCUGCCUGGCCCAGGGCGCCCCGUGGGUUCUGGGGUCUCUGGGGGUCUCUGGGGGUCUCUGGGGUCUCUAAUGGGUCUGGGGUCCGCAGCGCUGCCUGGCCCAGGGCGCUCCGUGGGUUCUGGGGGCUCUGGGGGGGGCUCUGGGGGGGUCUCUGGGGUCUCUCUAAUGGGUCUGGGGUCUGCAGCGCUGCCUGGCCCAGGGCGCCCCGUGGGUUCUGGGGUCUCUGGGGGUCUCUGGGGGUCUCUGGGGUCUCUCUAAUGGGUCUGGGGUCGGCAGCGCUGCCUGGCCCAGGGCACCCCGCGGGUUCUGGGGGCUCUGGGGGUCUCUGGGGGUCUCUGGGGGUCUCUGGGGUCUCUCUAAUGGGUCUGGGGUCCGCAGCGCUGCCUGGCUCAGGGCGCCCCGCGGGUUCUGGCCCCGGGCCGGGUGAUCGUGGUGAGCACGGCGAGGCACCGCAACGCGCUGGGGCUGGUGCUGCAGGUGAGCUCCGUGGGCUCUGGCCGUGUUUUCACCCCCCCAAAUCCCCCCCACACCUGUCCCCAGGUGAGCUCCGUGGGCUCUGGCCGUGUUUUCAC
ensembl:lncRNA